rnacentral:sRNA from 1 species
GAAAGUUUUGGACCCCUUGGGCUUUUCUAUGAGUACUUAGAAACAGUUAUUCAAUUUGGAUUUGUUACACUAUUUGUGGCCUCUUUUCCUUUGGCUCCUCUUCUUGCUCUCAUAAAUAAUAUUGUAGAGAUUCGAGUGGAUGCCUGGAAACUUACCACUCAAUACAGGAGAACUGUAGCUUCUAAAGCUCAUAGCAUAGGUGUUUGGCAAGACAUUCUUUAUGGAAUGGCUGUCCUUUCUGUUGCAACUAAUGCCUUUAUUGUUGCAUUUACGUCGGACAUCAUUCCCCGUCUAGUUUACUACUAUGCUUACUCAACAAAUGCCACACAGCCUAUGACAGGAUAUGUGAAUAAUAGCCUGUCAGUAUUCCUGAUAGCUGAUUUUCCAAACCACACUGCACCUUCGGAAAAACGAGACUUCAUCACUUGCAGGUACAGAGAUUACAGAUAUCCUCCUGAUGAUGAGAAUAAAUAUUUUCAUAAUAUGCAAUUCUGGCAUGUCCUUGCUGCUAAGAUGACCUUCAUCAUUGUUAUGGAAGCUCCACCCAAGCAUCAUCCUGGGACUUCUCUUCAUCUUGUCUUCUAUUGAAGACUGUAUUUUCUGCAAUCUAUGUUUCUCCCAUUUUUGGUUUACUAGCUUAUUUUGGUGAAGCACAUCUUCCAGUAAUUUUCUGAGGAAAAAUUAUGGACAGUCCAUUUUUGAGAAAUUGAAUAUUGAAAAUUUCUUUUCUUUCCUUACAUGUGAUUAUUUGGAAUAGAAUUUAUAAUUAAAAGUUGUUUUUCUUAA